UUUUAAUUGANGNCUAGAAUGAAAGGCUUAACUGUGAGAUUCUUUUUUUAANAUAAUAAUAAAAUUUUAGGUUUAAGUUAAAACUCUUAAAUAAAUCAAGGGGACGAUAAGACCCUAAAAGCUUUAAUUUUAAAUUAAAUGAUUAAAAUAUAUUAAUUAUGAUUUAAAUGAAUAUUUUUAUUGGGGAAAUAAAUAUAAUUAAAUUAUAUNUGGUGAUUACUUAAUAAUAGGGUUUUAGAGCUUUUAAAUAAAGAUGGUUAGAGUAAGUUACUUUAGGGAUAACAGCGUAAUAAUUUUGGAGAGUUCAUAUUGAUAAUAAUGAUUGCGACCUCGAUGUUGAAUUAAGAUAUCUUUAUNNAGAAGAGUGNAUAAGAGANGGUUUGNUCNACCUUUAAAUUUUU
rnacentral:rRNA from 1 species